GCCCACUUAGCACAGUGGUAGUGCGUGUCACUUGUAUUCACUACAUGACAAGGUCGUUCGUUCAAUCCGGGCAGUGGGCA